rnacentral:rRNA from 1 species
UACGAAGGGGGCUAGCGUUGCUCGGAAUUACUGGGCGUAAAGGGCGCGUAGGCGGAUAGUUUAGUCAGAGGUGAAAGCCCAGGGCUCAACCUUGGAAUUGCCUUUGAUACUGGCUAUCUUGAGUUCGGGAGAGGUGAGUGGAAUGCCGAGUGUAGAGGUGAAAUUCGUAGAUAGUUCGGCGGAACACCAGUGGCGAAGGCGACUCACUGGCCCGAUACUGACGCUGAG